UGGGGAUUCGCCAAGUGGUAAGGCAACGGACUCUGACUCCGUCAUCAUAGGUUCGAAUCCUAUAUCCCCAGCCA
rnacentral:tRNA from 1 species